UACGAAGGGGGCGAGCGUUGUUCGGAAUUACUGGGCGUAAAGGGCGCGUAGGCGGCCGAUCAAGUUAGAUGUGAAAGUCCUGGGCUCAACCUGGGAACUGCAUUUGUGACUGCACGGCUAGAGUGUGUCAGAGGGGGGUAGAAUUCCACGUGUAGCAGUGAAAUGCGUAGAUAUGUGGAGGAAUGCCGAUGGCGAAGGCAGCCCCCUGGGAUAACACUGACGCUCAUGCACGAAAGCGUGGGGAGCAAACAGG
rnacentral:rRNA from 1 species